rnacentral:rRNA from 1 species
UACGAAGGGUGCUAGCGUUGUCCGGAAUUAUUGGGCGUAAAGAGCUCGUAGGCGGUUUGUUGCGUCGGCUGUGAAAUCCCGAGGCUCAACCUCGGGUCUGCAGUCGAUACGAGCAAACUAGAGUGUUGCAGGGGAGACUGGAAUUCCUGGUGUAGCGGUGAAAUGCGCAGAUAUCAGGAGGAACACCCGUGGCGAAGGCGGGUCUCUGGGAAGCAACUGACGCUGAGGCGCGAAAGCGUGGGGAGCGAACAGG